rnacentral:rRNA from 1 species
GACGAACGCUGGCGGCGUGCUUAACACAUGCAAGUCGAACGGAAAGGCCCUGCUUUUGUGGGGUGCUCGAGUGGCGAACGGGUGAGUAACACGUGAGUAACCUGCCCUUGACUUUGGGAUAACUUCAGGAAACUGGGGCUAAUACCGGAUAGGAGCUCCUGCUGCAUGGUGGGGGUUGGAAAGUUUCGGCGGUUGGGGAUGGACUCGCGGCUUAUCAGCUUGUUGGUGGGGUAGUGGCUUACCAAGGCUUUGACGGGUAGCCGGCCUGGGAGGGUGACCGGCGACAUUGCGACUGAGAUACGGCCCAGACUCCUACGGGAGGCAGCAGUGGGGAAUAUUGCACAAUGGGCGGAAGCCUGAUGCAGCAACGCCGCGUGCGGGAUGACGGCCUUCGGGUUGUAAACCGCUUUCGCCUGUGACGAAGCGUUAGUGACGGUAAUGGGUAAAGAAGCACCGGCUAACUACGUG